UUCAAUUCUUCAUGCUGCUGCUGCUACUGCUACAUGAGGACCCUCUUCAAUUCUUCAUCCGUUGCGGCCGCCGCAGCUUCCACCUCUACCCGGCCGCAUUCGCAAGUGUAAGCUCCCCCUCCCUCCGUCCUAGAUCUCUAGGUCUGUUGUUGUCAUGCGCCAUGUUCUUGAUGUUGUGCGACCUCAUGUGGAUGCCACGAACGGCGCUGCUCCUGUGUGCAGAUUUGAUUCGCCGCAUUAGUAUGCGGUUGUUGUCUCGUCGUGGUUGUUCAAACCCGAGAUGUACCCAGUUGAUUCGUCAUCUCGGGUCAUAAAUUUUUCUGCAUUCCCUGUUGCUGUAGCUUGUUGGAUGCAUAGUUUGAUCUCCCAAUGGGAAUUAUUAGUGAAUGGUGAUGUCUGUGGUCACGAGAAUGGUGAUGUAGUAGCUGGUAUGCUUGAUGCGUGUAAGUCCAUCUCUUUACUGUUUUGCUAGAACCAUAAAUCCUGAUGCGCAUGAUGAUCAUGGUCUGGUUUGUUAGAUCUAUUCUGCUGGUGCUUAAAAUUUGACAUGCCUGGAUUCUAAAACAAAUUUUACAGCAUUCUAUGUUGUAGCCAAACACUUGCUCUGUAUUUUAUAUUAAAACCAUGGUAUUGUGUACCUGCCAACUACGAGUAAAUUACUGCAUUUUUUAAUACUUUGGUUUUUUGAUACUUUGCUGUUCGAUUUACUUUUAUUUUGUCCCUAAACAUUUUGUUCUACAAUGUGCAGAUGCUGGCAUUUCAUUUAGGACAAAGAAGUUGGAUGAAGCAUAGUUUUACCUCAUUGAGCUAGUUCUGGGAGUAACGAACUCCUUGUAGCAGAACUUGUACGUGUGGUAGUUCUGGGAGCUGAUCCUAUUUGUGUGUUAUAUGAUGUAGCAGAACUUGUAGGGCUCCUGUGAUAGACUUGGGCUGUAUGUGUGUUAUCUAAUUGUAAACUUGAUGCUGAUCACAUUUUUAUGUAUGUUAUAUGAUGUAGCAGAUUGCUUCCUGCUGUUAUUUGAAAUAUUGUGUCUGUUUUCUAUAUUUGCAUAUUGAAAUAUGAAAGAACAUGACCUUGACAGUAGGGUCCCACAAACUAGAACGUCACAUUUAGGACCCACUUACCAGAAUUUGACAAUUGGCAU
rnacentral:lncRNA from 1 species